rnacentral:rRNA from 1 species
AGGAGGGGCCUACCAUGCAAGUCUAACGGCAGCACAGGACAGCUUGCUCUCUGGGUGGCGAGUGGCGGACGGGUGAGGAAUACGUCGGAAUCUGCCUAUUUGUGGGGGAUAACGUAGGGAAACUUACGCUAAUACCGCAUACGACCUACGGGUGAAAGCGGAGGACCUUCGGGCUUCGCGCAUAUAGAUGAGCCGACGUCGGAUUAGCUAGUUGGCGGGGUAAAGGCCCACCAAGGCGACGAUCCGUAGCUGGUCUGAGUGGAUGAUCAGCCACACUGGAACUGAGACACGGUCCAGACUCCUACGGGAGGCAGCAGUGGGGAAUAUUGGACAAUGGGCGCAAGCCUGAUCCAGCCAUGCCGCGUGUGUGAAGAAGGCCUUCGGGUUGUAAAGCACUUUUGUACGGGAAGAAAAGCACCUGGUUAAUACCCGGGUGUCAUGACGGUACCGUAAGAAUAAGCACCGGCUAACUUCCUGCCAGCAGCCGCGGUAAUACGAAGGGUGCAAGCGUUACUCGGAAUUACUGGGCGUAAAGCGUGCGUAGGUGGUUUGUUAAGUCUGAUGUGAAAGCCCUGGGCUCAACCUUGGGAAUUGCAUUGGAUACUGGCAGUCUAGAGUGCGGUAGAGGGUAGCGGAAUUCCCGGUGUAGCAUUGAAUGCGUAGAUAUCGGGAGGAACAUCCGUGUCUAAUGCGGCUACCUGGACCAGCACUGACACUGAGGCACGAAAGCGUGGGGAGCAAACAGGAUUACAUACCCUGGUAGUCCACGUCCCUAAACGAUGCGAACUGGGAUGUUGGGGGCAAUUGAGCCCUUCAGUAAUCGAAGCUAACGUCGUUUAGUUUCGCCGCCAUGAGCAGUACCGGACGCAAGAUCGGAAACCUCAAAGGAAUUUGACGAGGGGCCUCUCACAAACCUG